UAACACGUAGGAGGCAAACGUUAUCCGGAUUUACUGGGCGUAAAGCGCGUGUAGGUGGUUCUGUAAGUAGGGCGUGAAAGCUCCUGGCUCAACUGGGAGAGGCCGUUCUAAACUGCAGAGCUAGAGGAUGGUAGAGGGAGGUGGAAUUCCGGGUGUAGCGGUGGAAUGCGCAGAUAUCCGGAGGAACACCAGUGGCGAAAGCGGCCUCCUGGACCAUUCCUGACACUCAGACGCGAAAGCUAGGGUAGCAAACGGGAUUAGAGACCCCGGUAGUCCUAGCCCUAAACGAUGUAGACUAGGCGUCGGUGGUUUAAACGCCAUCGGUGUCCAAGCUAACGCGAUAAGUCUACCGCCUGGGGACUACGGCCGCAAGGUUAAAACUCAAAGGAAUUGACGGGUCCCCGCAC
rnacentral:rRNA from 1 species